GAUGAACGCUGGCGGCGUGCCUAACACAUGCAAGUCGAACGGGUGUGGUAUCAGGGAAAAGGGGUUUACUUCUUUGACCAGAUAACACACUAGUGGCGGACGGGUGAGUAACGCGUGGAUAACCUGCCUUAUACAGGGGGAUAACAGGGAGAAAUUCUUGCUAAUACCCCAUAGGUAUGUCUGACGCAUGUUGGACAUAUUAAAGCUUUGGCGGUAUAAGAUGGGUCCGCGUCUGAUUAGCUAGUUGGUGGGGUAAAGGCCCACCAAGGCGACGAUCAGUAGCCGGCUUGAGAGAGUGGACGGCCACAUUGGGACUGAGACACGGCCCAAACUCCUACGGGAGGCAGCAGUGGGGAAUAUUGCACAAUGGGGGAAACCCUGAUGCAGCGACGCCGCGUGAAGGAAGAAGGUCCUCGGAUCGUAAACUUCUAUCAGCAGGGAAGAAGGAAGUGACAGUACCUGAGUAAGAAGCCCCGGCUAACUACGUG
rnacentral:rRNA from 1 species